UGAGUACGAGAUGCUACGGCAUCGAAGCAGUCUAUGUCAUACUUCCAAGAAGAGCUUGCAAUGUCAUAAACAAAUAAUGCCUGUACCAUAACCGACACAGGUGGGUAGGUAGAGUAUACUAAGGGGCGCGAGAUAACUCUCUCUAAGGAACUCGGCAAAAUGACUCCGUAACUUCGGGAGAAGGAGUGCCUUAUUUUUAUAAGGUUGCAAUAACAAGAUCCAAGCAACUGUUUACCAAAAACACAGGUCUCCGCUAAGUCGUAAGACGAUGUAUGGGGGCUGACGCCUGCCCAGUGCCAGAAGGUUAAAGAAGUUGGUUAGCAUUAGCGAAGCUGAUAACUGAAGCCCUGGUGAACGGCGGCCGUAACAAUAACGGUCCUAAGGUAGCGAAAUUCCUUGUCGGGUAAGUUCCGACCCGCACGAAAGGCGUAAUGAUUUGGAUACUGUCUCGGAGAGGGGCUCGGUGAAAUAGACUUGUCCGUGAAGAUGCGGACUACCUGCACCUGGACAGAAAGACCCUAUGAAGCUUUACUGUAACUUGAGAUUGAAAUUGGACUUUAUCUGCGCAGUAUAGGUGGGAGACGUUGAAAAUAUUCUUGCGGGAAUAUUGGAGUCAUCAGUGAGAUACCACUCUUAUAAUGUUAGAUUUCUAACUUUGUAUCAUUAUCUGGUCAAAGAACAGUUUCAGGCGGGCAGUUUGACUGGGGCGGUCGCCUCCCAAACGGUAACGGAGGCGCACAAAGGUUUCCUCUGAACGUGUAGAAAUCGUAUCUAGAGUGUAAAGGCAUAAGGAAGCUUGACUGUGAGACCUACAAGUCGAGCAGGGACGAAAGUCGGUCUUAGUGAUCUGACGGUGCUGAGUGGAAAGGCCGUCACUCAACGGAUAAAAGUUACUCUAGGAUAACAGGCUGAUCUCCCCCAAGAGUUCACAUCGACGGGGAGGUUUGGCACCUCGAUGUCGGCUCAUCGCAUCCUGGGGCGGUAGUACGUCCCAAGGGUUGGGCUGUUCGCCCAUGAAAGCGGUACGCGAGCUGGGUUCAGAACGUCGUGAGACAGUUCGGUCCAUAUCCGGUGUAGGCGUUAGAAUAUUGAGAGGAGCCUUCUUUAGUACGAGAGGACCGAGAAGGACAUACCUCUGGUGUACCAGUUAUCGUGCCAACGGUAAACGCUGGGUAGCCAUGUAUGGAGAGGAUAACCGCUGAAAGCAUCUAAGUGGGAAGCCCACCUCAAGAUAAG
rnacentral:rRNA from 1 species